rnacentral:rRNA from 1 species
AAUGAGGACUAGUAUGAAUGGCACCACGAGGGUUAUACUGUCUCCUCUUUCUAAUCAGUAAAACUAAUCUUCCCGUGAAGAAGCGGGAAUAAAGAUAUAAGACGAGAAGACCCUAUGGAGCUUUAAACCAUGAGACACUUGCACCAACCCAUGUAAAUUUCAGAAGAUAUCUUCUACCCAUGCAAGAUGAUCACCAGUUUUAGGUUGGGGUGACCGCGGAGCAAAAAACAACCUCCACAUUGAAAGGAGUCUAACUCCUUAGCUUAGAGCCACACCUCCAUGCACCAAUACAAUGACAUCAAUUGACCCAAUAUUUUGAUCAACGAACCAAGUUACCCUAGGGAUAACAGCGCAAUCCAUUUCAAGAGCUCCUAUCGACAAG